rnacentral:rRNA from 1 species
UACGAAGGGGGCUAGCGUUGUUCGGAAUUACUGGGCGUAAAGCGCACGUAGGCGGAUCGAUCAGUCAGGGGUGAAAUCCCGCAGCUCAACUGCGGAACUGCCUUUGAUACUGUCGGUCUAGAGUAUGGAAGAGGUGAGUGGAAUUCCGAGUGUAGAGGUGAAAUUCGUAGAUAUUCGGAGGAACACCAGUGGCGAAGGCGACGUCCUGGACCGGCAUUGACGCUGAGGCGCGAAAGCCAGGGGAGCAAACGGG